GCUGGUGAAUCUCACUGGGGCCUCCAAAUGUUAUACCAAAGUGAGUGGACUAGAGAAACACCAGCACACUGAGUCCGAGUUAAGCCAGGGUCCUUUACU
rnacentral:miRNA from 1 species